ACAUGCCUACAGCAUAGCGUUAAUGCAUCGGAUCCCAUUAGAACCUCGCAGUUAAGCGCGCUCAGGCUAGAGUAGUACUGAGAUGGGUGAUCGCCCAAGAAGUCCUAGUGUUUUACAUGCC
rnacentral:rRNA from 1 species